rnacentral:lncRNA from 1 species
CAGCGACGAGGCAGGACCGCGGGCGAGGGCAGUGUUUGGCGACUCGGGCGUUUCCGCGGCCUCGCCGGCGCACGAGACGCUCGUCAGCCACCGAGAGGCGCGGACGCUCGACCAUGGAGAAGCCAGCGCUGGCCCACGUUGUGGUUCGCGCAAGCCUGGGCACUCGCCGUCCCUUUCAUGGUGGCCGCAUAGGUUGCAGUAACCUCCGAGUUGCAAGAGGUGGCGGUGGCGGCCAGAGGGUCUGAAGACGUCACGGGUGUUUCGGAGCCGACGACGACGGCGACGAUGCUGGUGUUGAAGGCGACAACGUCGUCAGCAGCGUCGCCGCAGCCCAGUGACCGAUGACGCCAGCCAGUGCCUUCUGUGGCGCUGUAUAUAUUUUAUUAUCUUUUGUACAUAUAAUAACGUUGUUUUAAUUUUAUUCAGAUGCACCGUAGUGCACUACGUAUGAUUUGUACAGAUCAAGUAAAAAUUUUUGCGU